AUUGAACGCUGGCGGAAUGCUUUACACAUGCAAGUCGAGCGGCAGCGCGGGGGCAACCCUGGCGGCGAGCGGCGAACGGGUGAGUAAUACAUCGGAACGUGUCCUUGAGUGGGGGAUAGCUCGGCGAAAGCCGGAUUAAUACCGCAUAAGCUCUGAGGAGGAAAGCGGGGGAUUCGCAAGGACCUCGCGCUGUUGGAGCGGCCGAUGUCGGGUUAGCUAGUUGGUGGGGUAAAGGCCCACCAAGGCGACGAUCCGUAGCUGGUCUGAGAGGAUGAUCAGCCACACUGGAACUGAGACACGGUCCAGACUCCUACGGGAGGCAGCAGUGGGGAAUUUUGGACAAUGGGGGCAACCCUGAUCCAGCCAUUCCGCGUGAGUGAAGAAGGCCUCGG
rnacentral:rRNA from 1 species